GUAGGUGGCAAGCGUUGUCCGGAAUUAUUGGGCGUAAAGCGCGCGCAGGUGGUUCUUUAAGUCUGAUGUGAAAGACCCCCGGGCUCAACCCGGGGAGGGUCAUUGGAAACUGGGGAACUUGAGUGCAGGAGAGGAAAGUGGAAUUCCACGUGUAGCGGUGAAAUGCGUAGAUAUGUGGAGGAACACCAGUGGCGAAGGCGACUUUCUGGCCUGUAACUGACACUGAGGCGCGAAAGCGUGGGGAGCAAACAGGAUUAGAUACCCUGGUAGUCCACGCCGUAAACGAUGAGUGCUAAGUGUUGGGGGGUUUCCGCCCCUCAGUGCUGCAGCUAACGCAUUAAGCACUCCGCCUGGGGAGUACGGUCGCAAAGACUG
rnacentral:rRNA from 1 species